rnacentral:rRNA from 1 species
AGUUGGGGGCAUCCGUAUUCAGUUGUCAGAGGUGAAAUUCUUGGAUUUACUGAAGACGAACUACUGCGAAAGCAUUUGCCAAAGAUGUUUUCAUUAAUCAGUGAACGAAAGUUAGGGGAUCGAAGACGAUCAGAUACCGUCGUAGUCUUAACCAUAAACCAUGCCGACUAGGGAUCGGGCGAUGUUAUUGUAUUGACUCGCUCGGCACCUUUCGAGAAAUCAAAGUGUUUGGGUUCUGGGGGGAGUAUGGUCGCAAGGCUGAAACUUAAAGAAAUUGACGGAAGGGCACCACCAGGAGUGGAGCCUGCGGCUUAAUUUGACUCAACACGGGGAAACUCACCAGGUCCAGAUACACGUAGGAUUGACAGAUUGAGAGCUCUUUCUUGAUUGUGUAGUUGGUGGUGCAUGGCCGUUCUUAGUUGGUGGAGUGAUUUGUCUGCUUAAUUGCGAUAACGAACGAGACCUUCAUCGUUAACUAGCCCGGCUCGCCUUGGCGGGUCGCCGGCUUCUUAGCGAGACUUUUGGCUUAAGCCAAAGGAAGUUGGAGGCAAUAACAGGUCUGUGAUGCCCUUAGAUGUUCUGGGCUGCACGCGCGCUACACUGACAGA